rnacentral:rRNA from 1 species
GGGUUAGUAACGCGUGGGAACGUACCCUUUUCUACGGAAUAGCCUUUGGAAACGAAGAGUAAUACCGUAUACGCCCUUUGGGGGAAAGAUUUAUCGGAGAAGGAUCGGCCCGCGUUAGAUUAGAUAGUUGGUGGGGUAACGGCCUACCAAGUCUACGAUCUAUAGCUGGUUUUAGAGGAUGAUCAGCAACACUGGGACUGAGACACGGCCCAGACUCCUACGGGAGGCAGCAGUGGGGAAUCUUAGACAAUGGGCGCAAGCCUGAUCUAGCCAUGCCGCGUGAGUGAUGAAGGCCUUAGGGUCGUAAAGCUCUUUCGCCUGUGAUGAUAAUGACAGUAGCAGGUAAAGAAACCCCGGCUAACUCCGUGCCAGCAGCCGCGGUAAUACGGAGGGGGUUAGCGUUGUUCGGAAUUACUGGGCGUAAAGCGCACGUAGGCGGAUUGGAAAGUUGGGGGUGAAAUCCCGGGGCUCAACCCCGGAACUGCCUCCAAAACUAUCAGUCUAGAGUUCGAGAGAGGUGAGUGGAAUUCCAAGUGUAGAGGUGAAAUUCGUAGAUAUUUGGAGGAACACCAGUGGCGAAGGCGGCUCACUGGCUCGAUACUGACGCUGAGGUGCGAAAGUGUGGGGAGCAAACAGGAUUAGAUACCCUGGUAGUCCACACCGUAAACGAUGAAUGCCAGUCGUCGGGCAGUAUACUGUUCGGUGACACACC